AGAUUGAACGCUGGCGGCAGGCCUAACACAUGCAAGUCGAGCGGCAGCACGGGUACUUGUACCUGGUGGCGAGCGGCGGACGGGUGAGUAAUGCCUAGGAAUCUGCCUGAUAGUGGGGGAUAACGUUCGGAAACGGACGCUAAUACCGCAUACGUCCUACGGGAGAAAGGUGGGGGAUCUUCGGACCUCACGCUAUCAGAUGAGCCUA
rnacentral:rRNA from 1 species